CUGGGAAUCCAGCAGGACUCCUUUUGAUCCCGGGCUGCGCUGAAUGGCAGCGGCCUUCUGGGGGCCAUUUCUCCGGUGCCCUUUCUGGGGCACUGCCUUCCUCUCUCGCCAAUCUUUUCCACUGUCACCAUUUCCCCGUCCGCGGGGCGGGAGAGGGAUGUGACCGCGGCCCCUGAGCCCUUGCUCAGCCCCUGACUAGAGAAGGACCCGGGCCGGUCUGGGGGACCCGGGGCUCAGGGAGCGGCCGGGCAGUACUCGAUGUCCUGCCAGGACAUUCUUCUGCGCUGUCUCACCCUGGCCGCCUCCCUCCUCCCGGCCGGCCCUUCCCUCAAGGAGCUAGGAUUCCCAUCGCUUCUUGGCCUUUUGGCUAAGAUCAAGUGAAGAGCUAGGAUUCCUGUGGCCCCGAGCUCUCUGAACCGAGGGUCUCCAGGGCAGAAGACAUCCCAGUGCCCUGUCCAAAACGCAUCUGCAACGUCGACUGUGGUCUAUGCGCCUAGAGACUCUGGUUAGGGCACGCACUUUCCACAUCUAUCAGUGGAGUCUUAGUUUCUUUUUUUCUGGUACUACGGAUCAAACUCAGGACCUUGCACUUGGCAGGCGAGGCGCCACUGAGCUAAAUCCCUGGUCCUGUUACUUUCUAAAUAAACAUAAUCCACCCA
rnacentral:lncRNA from 1 species